UACGGGGGGGGCAAGCGUUGUUCGGAAUUACUGGGCGUAAAGGGCUCGUAGGCGGCCAACUAAGUCAGACGUGAAAUCCCCAGGCUUAACUUGGGAACUGCGUCUGAUACUGGGAGGCUUGAGUGCGGGAGAGGGAUGUGGAAUUCCAGGUGUAGCGGUGAAAUGCGCAGAUAUCAGGAAGAACACCCGUGGCGAAAGCGGCUCUCUGGAACGGUACUGACGCUGAGACGCGAAAGCGUGGGGAGCGAACAGG
rnacentral:rRNA from 1 species